rnacentral:rRNA from 1 species
AUGCUCCGACACCUGCUGCUGGAAUGCCCCUUCGCUCGCCAGGCAUGGCACGAGGUCCUGGCCUGGCUGCACAUUCCAGCCCCGAAUCCCACCCGCGAGCCCUCGCUCAUGGACUGGUGGAAGCAUGCCGAAGAGAACACGCCGCCGAGCCUUCACAAAGCCCUGAAACCCGUUGCGCUGCUCAUGCCUUGGAUGGUUUGGAAGCAUAGGAACAGCUGCAUCUUCGACAACGCAUCACCAUCUAUGAAUACGCUACUCGAUAGGAUCAAGGACGAGGCCUGCUCUUGGGCGGCUGCUGGGGCAGCUGGCCUCCGGCUUGUGCUACCACAAACCUAG